UAUUGUACCAUCACCUGGUAUAGAGGAUGCAGAUCCACAUUCUAGUUCAGCCGCCAAUUACGUGGAAGAAUGUUCCAAUAGUCGUCCAAUGAUUACACCCGUUGGAGGAGGGUUUUAUCCUACAAAAACUGCAUCGAAGGCAAUCACAACCACCAUCAAGGAACAGUUUGAUGAGCCAUGGCUAACAUGGGGCUCAAUCCCUAAGUCAACCAGAGAUGUCUUCUUCGAACGUUUUAAGAGAAGGGUUUCAUGGAAGCCUGAAGAUGAGGAAAAGGUAAAAAAAAAAUUAUCACACCAAGGCAUCUCAUAGACUCUCAGAGAUGUAUAAAAAAGCUAGAACUCUAGGAAAAAGACCUGAUUGGCUGGGGGACGAUACUUGGAAUGCUCUUUUGGAAAAGUGGAACAUGCCACUUUAUAGACAAAAGUGUGAAACGGCAAAGAAGAAUCGGACAUCUGAAAAGGGUGGUUGUUUGCACACUGGAGGAUCUAUAAGCAUGCAUGAGCAUGCUA